AGGGUCGUACGAGUUUUUCGUCAAUAACUCCCGAUCAAAUUGAGCUAGAGAGUCGGGAAAGCCAACAAUGGACUCGGGAAGACCUUCCGAAUCGAAUGAUAUGCCACCCUUUGCCCAGCUUCGUGACCUGAGGGGCUCUGACCUGACCUUGACCCGAGGUCAACUACUUAAGUUGACCUCACCCUAACAAAAAGUAAACCAUUCGACGCACCUGAGCUAGGCGAACACAAUGAUGCCAAAAUCGCGGCUCUGCGGCCAUUUGUUGCGAAGUUAUUUACUAAAAACCGAACCCGUAACUUCAGUCACCUGACCUGACCUCAGACGCUACCGGUUAACCUGAGACCUUAAAAUUGGGUACCAAUCGCUGCGACUUGUAACGGCACACACGUUCGCUUUUUCCGCGAGGCUCUACCUCUAUUAGAAGCAAAACGGCGUGCUGGGGUCGUAUCAACCCCUCCGAAACCCAUUUUGUUUGCGGGAAAAUGAGGAACUUAUAGAAAGAACACCUUUC